CCUACGGGAGGCUGCAGUGAGGAAUAUUGGUCAAUGGACGGAAGUCUGAACCAGCCAUGCCGCGUGCAGGAAGACGGCUCUAUGAGUUGUAAACUGCUUUUGUACAAGGGUAAACCUGAAUACGUGUAUUCAGCUGAAAGUACUGUACGAAUAAGGAUCGGCUAACGCCGUGCCAGCAGCCGCGGUAAUACGGAGGAUCCAAGCGUUAUCCGGAUUGAUUGGGUUUAAAGGGUGCGUAGGCGGAUUGAUAAGUUAGAGGUGAAAUGUCCGAGCUUAACUCGGGAACUGCCUCUAAUACUGUUGAUCUAGAGAGUAGAUGCGGUAGGCGGAAUGUAUGGUGUAGCGGGGAAAUGCUUAGAGAUCAUACAGAACACCGAUUGCGAAGGCAGCUUACCAAUCUAUAUCUGACGUUGAGGCACGAAAGCGUGGGGAGCAAACAGGAUUAGAUACCCGGGUAGUC
rnacentral:rRNA from 1 species